ensembl:lncRNA HCP5 HLA complex P5
CCAAGGUUGCGGGUCAUGGAGUCCCGAACCCUCCUCCUGCUGUUCUCGGGAGCCGUGGCCCUGAUCCAGACCUGGGCAGAUUACAAUUACAAUCAAGGCAGAAAUGAUCUCAUUUUUACAUUACAACUCUGGAAAAGGCAAUAGACUGAGAUGCAAGUGUGCCCCCAAGUGAUGGGCAGAAGGAGAGAAGGUGUUUUGGAUGCAUUCUAGAACACAGGACCCUGACUGUCCCACAGAAGAAGUGACAAGAAUUUAUUUAUGACAUGACAAUAACACAUGUAUUCAUGGUGUUAAUUCGAUUUGUUUCAUAGAGACAGGGUCUUGCUAUGUUGCCCAGGCUGGUCUUCCACUCCUGGCCUCAAGCAAUCCCCCUGACUUGGACUUCCAAAGUGCUAGCAUUACAGGUGUGAGCCAUUGUGCCCAGCCCUUAACUUGAAAAUCUGACAGUAUAAUAAAAGAAAAAAAUAGAAGUAUUCUGGAAAUGGAAGAGGAAAGAAGGCUAAGGUGGAAAUCAUCAAUCUGUGUCAUCUGAGAAGCCCCACGUGCAGAGGCUGUCCCGGGACUUUAGGGGAGAACAAAAACAAAGCACCCAGGAUCCUGGUGUCAGGGACAGAGCAUGGCCACGGCGGGAUGGUAGUGGCUCUCCUAUGAAAUAAUGCUCAUAAACAUCCCUUGUGAGAAGGAUCAGAUCAACAUAUAAAAAUAUGCCAAAUAAAGUGAAACUCAAGGCAGGAGUGGGACUGGCCAUUCUCAGCCCGUGACCUCCAUGGACUUGGAGAAAGGCUCAGCCUGGAGAUGUGUGAGGCCUCCGACCUGGAGCAGCACCCGCCCCUAAAGACCAGGCACAAAUCCCAGCACAUGGAGGGAUCCAGACAAAUACACAAGAGAUGACCACAGCAGGAGCUUUACUGGGCACAGAGCGAGGCCACACACCACUCAGCUCCUGCCCCUCCACCUGCCCUUCUCUCCCCACCUGCCCCUGCCCCAGCACAGCAGAUCCUCAGAAUCCAAAAAGAGAACCUAA